rnacentral:piRNA from 1 species
UCUAAGAACCUGGAAGGGCCGUGGGGACC